rnacentral:rRNA from 1 species
UACGAAGGAGGCUAGCGUUGGUCGGAAUCACUGGGCGUAAAGCGCACGUAGGCGGAUUUGUUAGUAAGGGGUGAAAUCCCGGGGCUCAACCUCGGAACAGCCUUUGAUACUGCAGAUCUCGAGUCCGGAAGAGGUGAGUGGAAUUCCAAGUGUAGAGGUGAAAUUCGUAGAUAUUAGUAAGAACACCAGUGGCGAAGGCGGCUCACUGGUCCGGUACUGACGCUGAGGUGCGAAAGCGUGGGGAGCAAACAGG